ACAAACACAAUGAUUGGGAGUAGUAGAAAUCGUUCAUGGUUCAGAGAGCUGCAGCAAUGGUGAAAUGCAGUCCAUGAGGAUUCCGAAGCUCGCCCAUGAGUGGUGAGGCAGAAAUGGAGUAUGCCUUGACGUUUAGCCUUCGUGAUCGGGCUUCAAGCGGAUUUGAUGAAGAUCGGAUCAAGUAGAGUGGUACCGCGCGGGUAGUUAGCCUGUCGUCUCUUAG
rnacentral:ncRNA from 1 species